CCUACGGGUGGCAGCAGUGGGGAAUAUUGCGCAAUGGGCGAAAGCCUGACGCAGCGACGCCGCGUGAGGGAUGAAGGCCUUCGGAUCGUAAACCUCUUUCAGCAGGGAAGAACGGUCACUGUGCUAAUCAUCAGUGAAUUGACGGUACCCGCAAAGGAAGCACCGGCUAACUCCGUGCCAGCAGCCGCGGUAAUACGGAGGGUGCUAGCGUUAAUCGGAAUUACUGGGCGUAAAGCGCUCGUAGGCGGUAUGUCAAGUCAAGGGUGAAAUCCCCGCGCUCAACGUGGGAACUGCAUUUGAUACUGGCAAACUUGAGUGUGGGAGAGGAUAGUGGAAUUCCAGGUGUAGGGGUGAAAUGCGUAGAUAUCUGGAGGAACAUCAGUGGCGAAGGCGACUAUCUGGCACAUAACUGACGCUGAGGAGCGAAAGCGUGGGUAGCAAACAGGAUUAGAUACCCUUGUAGUC
rnacentral:rRNA from 1 species